rnacentral:rRNA from 1 species
GGGCUAUCAGCAGUCGAGCGGAAGAUGGGAGCUUGCUCCCUGAUGUUAGCGGCGGACGGGUGAGUAACACGUGGGUAACCUGCCUGUAAGACUGGGAUAAUUCCGGGAAACCGGGGCUAAUACCGGAUGCUUGUUUGAACCGCAUGGUUCAAACAUAAAAGGUGGCUUCGGCUACCACUUACAGAUGGACCCGCGGCGCAUUAGCUAGUUGGUGAGGUAACGGCUCACCAAGGCAACGAUGCGUAGCCGACCUGAGAGGGUGAUCGGCCACACUGGGACUGAGACACGGCCCAGACUCCUACGGGAGGCAGCAGUAGGGAAUCUUCCGCAAUGGACGAAAGUCUGACGGAGCAACGCCGCGUGAGUGAUGAAGGUUUUCGGAUCGUAAAGCUCUGUUGUUAGGGAAGAACAAGUACCGUUCGAAUAGGGCGGUACCUUGACGGUACCUAACCAGAAAGCCACGGCUAACUACGUGCCAGCAGCCGCGGUAAUACGUAGGUGGCAAGCGUUGUCCGGAAUUAUUGGGCGUAAAGGGCUCGCAGGCGGUUCCUUAAGUCUGAUGUGAAAGCCCCCGGCUCAACCGGGGAGGGUCAUUGGAAACUGGGGAACUUGAGUGUAGAAGAGGAGAGUGUAAUUU